rnacentral:piRNA from 1 species
UGCUGCUUCGGGACAGUGAGGUGUCAGCAUC